UAUCGAAAGUUAGGSUAUAACCGCAUACGAUCUAUGGAUGAAAGCGGGGGAUCGCAAGACCUCGCGCGCUUGGAGCGGCCGAUAUCAGAUUAGGUAGUAGGUGGGGUAAAGGCUCACCAAGCCGACGAUCAGUAGCUGGUCUGAGAGGACGACCAGCCACACUGGGACUGAGACACGGCCCAGACUCCUACGGGAGGCAGCAGUGGGGAAUCUUGGACAAUGGGGGAAAGCCUGAUCCAGCCAUGCCGCGUGCAGGAUGAAGGCCUUCGGGUUGUAAAGUGCUUUUGUCCGGAACGAAAAGGUUUUGCCUAAUAAGCGGAGCUCAUGACGGUACCGUAAGAAUAAGCACCGGCUAACUACGUGCCAGCAGCCGCGGUAAUACGUAGGGUGCGAGCGUUAAUCGGAAUUACUGGGCGUAAAGCGUGCGCAGGCGGUUAUGUAAGUCAGAUGUGAAAUCCCCGGGCUCAACCUGGGAACUGCAUUAGAGACUGCAUAGCUUGAGUGGGGCAGAGGGGGAUGGAAUUCCGCGUGUAGCAGUGAAAUGCGUAGAUAUGCGGAGGAACACCGAUGGCGAAGGCAAUCCCCUGGCCGUACUGACGCUCAUGC
rnacentral:rRNA from 1 species